GUUUUCCCAGGUGUGCUGUCUAGAGUGGUGUUUUCCAAGGUGUGUUUUCCCAAGUGUGCUGUCUAGAGUGGUGUUUUCCCAGGUGUGCUGUCUAGAGUGGAGUUUUCCAAGGUGUGUUUUCCCAGGUGUGCUGUCUAGAGUGGUGUUUUCCCAGGUGUGCUGUCUAGAGUGGUGUUUUCCCAGGUGUGCUGUCUAGAGUGGAGUUUUCCAAGGUGUGUUUUCCCAGGUGUGCUGUCUAGAGUGGUGUUUUCCCAGGUGUGCUGUCUAGAGUGGUGUUUUCCCAGGUGUGCUGUCUAGAGUGGAGUUUUCCAAGGUGUGUUUUCCCAGGUGUGUUGUCUAGAGUGGAGUUUUCCAAUAUGUGUUUUCCCAGGUGUGCUGUCUAGAGUGGUGUUUUCCCAGGUGUGCUGUCUAGAGUGGUGUUUUCCCAGGUGUGCUGUCUACAGUGGAGUUUUCCAAGGUGUGUUUUCCCAGGUGUGCUGUCUAGAGUGGUGUUUUCCCAGGUGUGUUUUCCCAGGUGUGCUGUCUAGA